CCUACGGGAGGCAGCAGUGGGGAAUAUUGGACAAUGGGCGAAAGCCUGAUCCAGCAAUGCCGCGUGAGUGAUGAAGGCCUUAGGGUCGUAAAGCUCUUUUACCAGGGAUGAUAAUGACAGUACCUGGAGAAUAAGCUCCGGCUAACUCCGUGCCAGCAGCCGCGGUAAUACGGAGGGAGCUAGCGUUGUUCGGAAUUACUGGGCGUAAAGCGUGCGUAGGCGGUUAUUCAAGUCAGAGGUGAAAGCCCGGGGCUCAACCCCGGAACGGCCUUUGAAACUAGAUAACUAGAAUCUUGGAGAGGUCAGUGGAAUUCCGAGUGUAGAGGUGAAAUUCGUAGAUAUUCGGAAGAACACCAGCGGCGAAGGCGACUGACUGGACAAGUAUUGACGCUGAGGUACGAAAGCGUGGGGAGCAAACAGGAUUAGAUACCCUGGUAGUCCACGCCGUAAACGAUGAUAACUAGCUGUCCGGACACUUGGUGUUUGGGUGGCGCAGCUACGCAUUAAGUUAUCCGUCCGUCGGGUAGGUACGGUCGCGAAGAAUUAAACUUAAAGGUAAAGUUAGUACGGCGUGAGACGUGCCGAACGGACGACGACGAGGGAGUAGG
rnacentral:rRNA from 1 species